GCCCGGGUGGCUCAGUUGGUUAAUCGUCUGACUUCAGCUCAGGUCAUGGUCUCGUGCUUCGUGGGUUCGAGCCCCGCUUCGGGCU
rnacentral:tRNA from 1 species